AGCCCACUUACUAAUGAGAAGUAACCCAGCAGCACGCCCCGAUCUCCCAGCGCGCCGCCGUCUGCCCCUGGACCAGCGCGCCGUCGACCGGCCCCUGGCCCAGCGCGCUGCCGACUGCCCCUAGCCCAGCACGCCGCCGACCGGUCCCUGCCCCAGCGUGCCGCCGCCGGGCCCCGCCCCAGCACGCCCCCAACCACGGCUGUGCGCCACCACACCGCUCUACUCCUCGCUUCUUCUUCGUCAACGCGGACGGGCCCGAUACUUCCUCACACCGGCCACCGUCGCACCACCUCAGGUACCUCCAUCGCAUCCCCACCCUCACCGUGAUGAGAACGCAUGGAUCUGAAGCUGCAUGUGCAACCCACGAGGCUUGGGGGACGAGCGCGACAACAACACUUGUGUAAGUUCAGGUUGGUAUAAAUGUAUUUGGAGAGGAAUUAUUGAGUUUGUGUUCUUCUAGCGCAAAAUGUGUCUGUCAGUUCAAAAUCCUCAACCCUGUAAGCUCAGAGAAAAAAAGAAACAAAUAAACAAAAUUCAUGAUAGAAAAAAAUUCGUGAAGUUCGCAAGGAAAACAAGAUAAGUUCAAAUAUAAUAAAUAUAUAAGUAGAACAUUGUAGGGAAUUUCAUUGUAGAGUUAACAAUCUGGUGUUGCUGCUGUUUGUGUUGACCGUGACGGAGUAUUUGCUAUUCCGGUAUAAUUACAUUCUGCUAUGAGAAUUUGCUACCGGGGGCAUGAAGUAGCAGCCUGCCAAGUUGCUGCCGCGAAUGAACUUGGUUUAUUGUAGGUGAUUCUACUGAACUUGUGCUAUGUUAUUUAUGGUUAGAACUAUCAAUGGAUAAUGAAGGUGAAAAUGAUUAUAUUGGACUGCAACAACAGAAAACUUAGCUGGAAGUAGGAAGUUUGAUUCAUCUGCUACUGCUCUUUUUGGGCUUCUGCUUUACUCCAAAAAUAUUGUGUUUUGCAUUAGAUGCUAGACAACAUGAUUUCAUUUUAGUACUAACAUUAUUGCGUACACUAAAUUGGCAAUCCCACUGUUGUGUUAACACCUAAUUUUGUUGCUCUAAAUCCGUGAGAUCUUGGAUGUUGGAGUUACCCUUGAAGAAAAAACUUGGGUAUUUGAGUUGCUUCCAUGUGGCGAGUCUUGAUCUUGGUGGCGCGAAGCUACAUUUCAGUAUCCAAGUAUUGCAUCAGGAAGUUGCAUGAGAAGAUUUUCCUUUCAAAUGCAUGCUACGUUUGUAGCUCUCAAAUUUUCUCCUUUGUGGAUGCGUUUGUAAGCAGUCCUCUCUCACCUUUGCUAUCACGUUUUUUUUGUUGAACUUAAGGAGGAUGCUUGGGAUAAAAAUGCCUUUUUUAUUUUGCAAUGCUUGAAGCAAUUUGUUUCAGUAGUACUCCCUCUGUAAACUAAUAUAAGAGUGUUUAGAUAACUAAAAUAGUAAUCUAAACACUCUUAUAUUAGUUUACGGAGGGAGUACAACUGUACAAGUUUUAUUUUUGUAUGUUGUAUGGCUUGCCGACCUGCUCUCUCUCUGAUCUGUGAACUGAUACUUUAUAUUUGGUGAACUCUAUCCUAUAUGUGUGGCGCGCCAAGCACACCCCCGGCUGCCUCCUCCUCUUGCUUACUCCCGCACGAGGCACGCUGCGCCGAGCACGCACCCGGCCGCCCCUGCCUCCGCACAAGUAGCAGUGGGACUGACUGGGAGUGAUCCCUGAACCACUUCAUCAAAGCCCAUGGUUUCCAACAAUGCUAAUGCUACUGGAAAGUGCUAGAGCUCAUGAAGCCUCUUGGCUUCUCGAAUAAGCAGGUUUGGCUAGUUCCUGAAGCGCCUCCUCAAGCUCUUCGACGAUAACUGGGCGUCCAUCAAGGAUGGGAGCUACUGCAUCCUUGUUGACAUCAUACGGGAUGACAAAAAGCAAUGAACCAUUACCUACAACUACCGGUCAUGUAAAAAAUGCUACUUUCAUUUGUUUGGUAGCCUUCCUUAAUUACCAAUUUAUGUUUAGCCUCACCAAUUGCAGUUUUUACUUAAGGUGACGUGCCUAAAAGAGUCCAAGCCUCACAACUCAUUGCGGUCAGACUAGAUCACCAACACCUCUCCUGCCCGAUAUAACAAGGAUGUCGGUGAUAAUGAAAACCUCCCUCACAGUAGAGCGGCCGAGUGCACCUUGCCAUCUACAUUUCAGAGCCCAUCAGUUCAGUGAGAUCUCUCCCAGUACAUGUUCAGUUUUCAUUUUGGUCGGUAGCAAUUUGUUCCUGAAAGAGUUAUGAUUCCCCGCACCCUGCUUAUCAAAGUUCGUUCCAUUUCAUGUUAUUAUUCCAGUGACAACUCAUAUCAAUUGUUAUUUCAUGUUAAACUCAGUUUAGUUUCUGGACGCAUAUAACAUUGGUGUGCGUCAGUGCUA